UUUUUCUUUAUUUUACUAUUUUCUACAUUGUAGAAUAAUACAGAAGACAUCCCAACUAUGCAAUAACACAUAUGGAAUCAUGUAGUAACCAAAAUAUUUGUUAUAUUUGAGAUUCUUCAAAGUAGCCCCCUUUACCUGGAUGACAUAUUUACACACUCUUGGCAUUCUCUCCACCAGCUUCAUGAGGUAGUCACCUGAAAUGCAUUUCAAUUAACAGGUGUGCAUUUUCAAAAGUUCAUUUGUGGAAUUUCUUUCCUUCUUAAUGUGUUUGAACCAAUCAGUUGUGUUGUGACAAGGUAGGGGUGGUAUAUAGAAGAUAGCUCUAUUUGGUAAAAUACCAAGUCCAAAUUAUGGCAUGAACAGCUAAAAUAAUUAUUUUUGAAGUAGUGGAUAUGUUCAGUAGUGAAAACGAUUGCAGUUAAGAUCAAUAACAUGUGUGCGCGCUCUGAAACGAUUGACUGCGAUCAUCAUGCGCGAGAGGCUAACCAACUACCAAUGAACUAUCUAGCCAGCUAAUGUGCUCCUAUACAAACCGACAGUCCAGGUGUCAAUAUCUGAUAUUUUCAGCAUGACAUGGUUAACGUUAGCUAGCUAAAAUGACUGUUGCGUUAUUCCGCCUCAUCGGGUGAUGAACUGGGCUUGAUGGAUCACAAAAUGGAGCAAAGACCUCCUGCUGACGUUACCGAUGGCAUAGACAUCGCGGAAUGGGGUGAUCGGAAAGCUCAACACACAGAAGCUGUUGUCCUAAUAAAGAGUACAUCUUCCAGGAGAAGUGGUCGACAGCACACAGAACAUUUGAUCAGGACGAGGCCUGGAAAACCAAAGCCCAGGUUCCAGGUUGAGGAGAGGCUGACAGAGUGUUUGACCCUGCUGGGAGGGAACAGCUUGCUGAGGUCCCUGCUCAUCCGUCAUGUCCUGUCUGAGAUCAACCGGCUAGCAGAGCACGUCUUGAUCACCUGCCAGGGGGAGAGCAGUGAGGGGUCUGUCCAGGUUGACGUGUCCCAGUAUGAAAACUCCUCCUACCUGGUCUGACUCCUGGAGUAGCUCCUACAUGGACCUCCAGGGGCCGCAGUGGGGCCAGGACACCAAUGGACGUAGGAGCAGAGGGCCCUGCUGGGCAGCCUGGAACACAGCGUCCUUCUCCUGUCUGACUUCCCCUGUUUAGCCUACAUGUGGAGGAUAGGGGCUCUCCUCGCCCCCUCUGUUCCAGGAACGAGCAUGGCGCCACCACGGCCACACAGGCGUGUAAUUCCACCUCCAGGAUGUUUCCACUUCAAAGGGCUGCAGAAGUUGGUGCAGAUACAGUCAAUUUGACUGACAUGACAGGAUUGAAGAGACAGGACUUAACAAACUGGAGGAGGUGGUGGGAGGUGCGUUAUUCAUUGAGGUUGGCUACCUCUUCAGAAGAAUAAUCUAUAAAUAGUAUGGCACUAAACCAAAGCCUGUCAUUAUUCUUGUUGGGAAAAGUGUGGCAAUUAAACAAUAAGACCCGAGGGGGUGUGGUACAGUAUAUGGCCAAUACACCACGGCUAAGGGCUGUUCUUAAGCACAACUCAACACGGAGUGCCUGGACACAGCCCUUAGCCGUGGGGGUUUGUGAUAUCAGGGCGGCAGGGUAGCUUUCAGCCACUCAGCAUUCAGGGCUCGAACCACAGUUUAUAAUGUGAAAUAGACUAUUGUGGCUGGCAUUAGAAUUACAAUGGAAAGCAUUGCAUUUUUUAUGAGAAUUAUAUAUUUUUUAUUUACAGACUGUGUGAAUGUAGAAUGGAUAUACUGAGUGCUGUAUGAGCAGGAAUAUCUUACUGUAAAGAAGGUAUGUCCGGAAAGUUUUUAGGCAUUUACAUUUUCAUUUGUUGAUUCUAUUAGCAAGAUGUAGUGAAGCAAUUUUACAAAUGGAUUUGAAAAUAAAUAAAAUCCAAAAUGUUCAUAUUCCAGAUUGUAUCCUUGAUUCAAGUCCAUGUAAAUAUUUAGUUACUGGACUUUGAUAUAAGUGUUUAUAGAAAUAUGUACUGAUAUUUAAGACAUGAUUGUAUAGAGAUUGUCAGUGACAUUAGAGUCUGACUUGUUGUAGUGUUCUAUAGAAGGGAUACAGUAAGUCUGACUUGUUGUAGUGUUCUAUAGGAGGGAUACAGUAAGUCUGACUUGUUGUAGUGUUCUAUAGGAGGGAUACAGUAAGUCUGAUUUACUGCCAUGUUCUAUAGCAGCGAUGGCUGUGUCCUAACAGACUGAACAGGUUAUAUUAGUGCUGCAUGACCCUCCCCAGUUUGUUAUCCUCUUCUAAAUAGCUGUGGACGGGAGGUGAGGCAGACUGCCUGUGAUGACUGCCAGCUCUGCUAUGUUUGCCCCGGCUGUAACCCAGU
ensembl:lncRNA